UACAGGGGGGGGCAAGCGUUGUUCGGAAUUACUGGGCGUAAAGGGCUCGUAGGUGGCCAACUAAGUCAGACGUGAAAUCCCUCAGCUUAACUGGGGAACUGCGUCUGAUACUGGAUGGCUUGAGUUUGGGAGAGGGAUGCGGAAUUCCAGGUGUAGCGGUGAAAUGCGUAGAGAUCCGGAGGAACACCAAAGGCGAAGGCAGUGUCCUGGGGAGUACCUGACGCUCAGGUGCGAAAGCCAGGGGAGCGAACGGG
rnacentral:rRNA from 1 species